GUCUACAGCCAUACCACCCUGAACGUGCCUCAUCUCAGAAGCUAAGCAGGGUCAGGUCUGGUUAGUACUUGGAUGGGAGGCAGAAAACUGAGAGAACAGUGCUAGAGAAGCCAGUGCAGGAGAGC
rnacentral:rRNA from 1 species